UACGUAGGGUGCGAGCGUUGUCCGGAAUUAUUGGGCGUAAAGGGCUCGUAGGCGGUCUGUCGCGUCGGGAGUGAAAACACGGGGCUUAACCCCGUGCCUGCUUCCGAUACGGGCAGACUAGAGGUAUGCAGGGGAGAACGGAAUUCCUGGUGUAGCGGUGAAAUGCGCAGAUAUCAGGAGGAACACCGGUGGCGAAGGCGGUUCUCUGGGCAUGUCCUGACGCUGAGGAGCGAAAGUGUGGGGAGCGAACAGG
rnacentral:rRNA from 1 species